rnacentral:rRNA from 1 species
GAGUUUGAUCCUGGCUCAGAUUGAACGCUGGCGGCAGGCCUAACACAUGCAAGUCGAGCGGUAGAGAGAAGCUUGCUUCUCUUGAGAGCGGCGGACGGGUGAGUAAUGCCUAGGAAUCUGCCUGGUAGUGGGGGAUAACGCUCGGAAACGGACGCUAAUACCGCAUACGUCCUACGGGAGAAAGCAGGGGACCUUCGGGCCUUGCGCUAUCAGAUGAGCCUAGGUCGGAUUAGCUAGUUGGUGAGGUAAUGGCUCACCAAGGCGACGAUCCGUAACUGGUCUGAGAGGAUGAUCAGUCACACUGGAACUGAGACACGGUCCAGACUCCUACGGGAGGCAGCAGGUGGGGAAUAGUUGGACAAGUGGGAC